rnacentral:rRNA from 1 species
CUGGCCGGGACCUGCCCGCCCCUCCGCGGGAGUGAAGAAGGCUUUUCUCUCGUUAGCUUUUUUGUUGGAGGGACACGUACUACCUAAAAUGUUCGUGCCUUGACGAUACCUUACGGGAAGGGCGCGCUAACUACGUGCCAGCAGCCGCGGUAAUCC